GUGGAAACGAGGUGCUAAUACCGCAUAACAAUGUCGUUCGCAGGAACAACGCUUAAAAGAUGGCUUCUCGCUAUCACUUCAGGAUGGACCUGCGGUGCAUUAGCUUGUUGGUGGGGUAAUGGCCUACCAAGGCGAUGAUGCAUAGCCGAGUUGAGAGACUGAUCGGCCACAAUGGGAGUGAGACACGGCCCAUACUCCUACGGGAGGCAGCAGUAGGGAAUCUUCCACAAUGGGCGCAAGCCUGAUGGAGCAACACCGCGUGAGAGAAGAAGGGUUUCGGCUCGUAAAGCUCUGUUGUAAAGAAGAACACGUAUGGGAGUAACUGUUCAUACGUUGACAGUAUUUAACCAGAAAGUCACGGCUAACU
rnacentral:rRNA from 1 species